ensembl:lincRNA
UUUGUAUGGGAGCUCUGUCUUCACUCUAUUAAAUCUUGCAGCUGCACUCUCUUUUGGUCCACAUUUGUCAUGGUUCGAGCUGAGCUUUCUCUCGCCGCCGUCCACCACUGCUGUUUGCCGCUGUCGCAGACCUGCUGCUGACUUCCAUCCGUCCAGAUCCGGCAAGGUGUCUGCUGUGCUCCUGAUCCAGCGAGGCGCCCAUUACAGCUCCCAGUCGGGCUAAAGGCUUGCCACUGUUCCUGCACGGCUAAGUGUCCAGGUUCAUCCUAAUCAAGCUGAACACUAGUCACUGGGUUCCACGGUUCUCUUCCAUGACCCAUGGCUUCUAAUAGAGCUAUAACACUCACUGCAUGGCCCAAGAUUCCAUUCCUUGGAAUCCGUGAGGCCAAGAACCCCAGGUCAGAGAACACGAGGCUUGCCACCAUCUUGGAAGCAGCCUGCCGCCAUUUUGGAAGUGGCCCACCACCAUCUUGGGAGCUCUGGGAGCAAGGACCACCUGGUAACAAUAGGCCAAAUACUGUGCUGAUAAGGUCAUGAAAAAAAUGGAAACUCUCUCAAGGACUAACAGUCAGAGCUGUCUGGUUGACAAGGGACGUUAUGGUUGCAAGAAGACCCUGAAGCAAGGAUUCUACAUCAAAGAUUCAGGGGCAAUCUGAGUUUGCAUUUAAGAUCCUUCUGCCUAUAGCAGUGGCUUAUAUGUUAUGUUCAAUUGACGUAUAAGCACUGUGAAGAAAUAUUCUAUUACAACCUCUAAUGACAUUAGCAUUGUGUAUUUCAGAAUGUAAUUGUAGACAGAAAGUUGGUAUAUUUAAUUCAAAUUAUGAUUAUUCUUUAAAAACAAAACUUGAAAAUUCAGUUUAUCUACAUAAUUGGCUUAAGUAUUUGUUGCAUGCCUAUUCCAUGCCAAGCAAUGAGCAAGGUGUUAUAAAAUAAAACAUACAAAAACUAUGUCCCUUUUUGCAGGCUGAUUUUUACCAUUUUAAGUAAGAAAUAUAAUCUAAUGCCC